rnacentral:rRNA from 1 species
GACGAACGCUGGCGGCGUGCUUAACACAUGCAAGUCGAACGGAAAGGCCCUGCUUUUGUGGGGUGCUCGAGUGGCGAACGGGUGAGUAACACGUGAGUAAUCUGCCCUUGACUUUGGGAUAACUUCAGGAAACUGGGGCUAAUACCGGAUAGGAGCUCCUGCUGCAUGGUGGGGGUUGGAAAGUUUCGGCGGUUGGGGAUGGACUCGCGGCUUAUCAGCUUGUUGGUGGGGCAGUGGCUUACCAAGGCUUUGACGGGUAGCCGGCCUGAGAGGGUGACCGGCCACAUUGGGACUGAGAUACGGCCCAGACUCCUACGGGAGGCAGCAGUGGGGAAUAUUGCACAAUGGGCGGAAGCCUGAUGCAGCAACGCCGCGUGCGGGAUGACGGCCUUCGGGUUGUAAACCGCUUUCGCCUGUGACGAAGCGUGAGUGACGGUAAUGGGUAAAGAAGCACCGGCUAACUACGUG